UACGGAGGGAGCUAGCGUUGUUCGGAAUCACUGGGCGUAAAGCGUGCGUAGGCGGUGACUCAAGUCAGAUGUGAAAGCCUGGAGCUCAACUCCAGAACUGCCUUUGAAACUAGGUCGCUAGAACAUCGGAGAGGUGAGUGGAAUUCCGAGUGUAGAGGUGAAAUUCGUAGAUAUUCGGAAGAACACCAGUGGCGAAGGCGGCUCACUGGACGAUUGUUGACGCUGAGGCACGAAAGCGUGGGGAUCAAACAGG
rnacentral:misc_RNA from 1 species